UACGCGUCAAGUAGAGCCUGACUACCCGCUGAAUUUAAGCAUAUUA
rnacentral:rRNA from 1 species